rnacentral:rRNA from 1 species
AUUGAACGCUGGCGGCAGGCCUAACACAUGCAAGUCGAGCGAGCGGCGGACGGGUGCGUAAUGUCUGGGAAACUGCCUGAUGGAGGGGGAUAACUCCUGGAAACGGUAUCUAAUACCGCAUACCAUCAGAUGUGCGCAGAUGGGAUUAGCUAGUAGGUGGGGUACUGGCGCACCUAGGCGACGAUCCCUAGCUGGUCUGAGAGGAUGACCAGCCACACUGGAACUGAGACACGGUCCAGACUCCGACGGGAGGCAGCAGUGGGGAAUAUUGCACAAUGGGCGCAAGCCUGAUGCAGCCAUGCCGCGGGUGUGAAGAAGGCCUUCGGGUUGUAAAGCACUUUCGGCAGGGAGGCGUUACCCGCAGAAGAAGCACCGGCUAACUCCGUGCCAGCAGCCGCGGUAAUUC